AGGAUGAACGCUGGCGGCGUGCUUAACUCAUGCAAGUCGAACGAUGAAGGCUGGAGCUUGCUCUGGCUGGAUUAGUGGCGAACGGGUGAGUAACACGUGAGUAACCUGCCCCUGACUCUGGGAUAAGCGCUGGAAACGGCGUCUAAUACCGGAUACGAGCUUCCACCGCAUGGUGAGGAGCUGGAAAGAAUUUCGGCUGGGAUGGACUCGCGGCCUAUCAGCUUGUUGUGAGGUAAUGGCCUAC
rnacentral:rRNA from 1 species